rnacentral:tRNA from 1 species
AGUUAAUGGAGCAAUGGUUAAGUGCUUGGCUGAUAACCAAAAGGUUGGUGGUUCAAACCCACCAGUGACUC